AUGAUUUUGGAUCCGACUGAGUGGCGAACUGGUGAGUAACACGUGGGUAACCUGCCCAGAAGAAGGGGAUAACACCUGGAAACAGAUGCUAAUACCGUAUAACAACAAGAACCACAUGGUUCUUGUUUGAAAGCUGGCCUUUGUGCUAGUGCUUCUGGAUGGACCCGCGGCGUAUUAGCUAGUUGGUGAGAUAAUAGCUCACCAAGGCAAUGAUACGUAGCAGACCUGAGAGGGUAAUCUGCCACAAUGGGACUGAGACACGGCCCAUACUCCUACGGGAGGCAGCAGUAGGGAAUCUUCCACAAUGGACGAAAGUCUGAUGGAGCAACGCCGCGUGAGUGAAGAAGGGUUUCGGCUCGUAAAACUCUGUUGUUAGAGAAGAACAGCCGUGAGAGCAACUGCUCACGGUAUGACGGUAUCUAACCAGAAAGUCACGGCUAACUACGUGCCAGCAGCCGCGGUAAUACGUAGGUGGCAAACGUUGUCCGGAUUUAUUGGGCGUAAAGGGAGCGCAGGCGGUUUAUUAAGUCUGAUGUGAAAGCCUUCGGCUUAACCGGAGAAGUGCAUCGGAAACUGAUAAACUUGAGUGCAGAAAAGGAUAGUGGAACUUCAUGUGUAGCGGUGAAAUGCGUAGAUAUAUGAAGGAACACCAGUGGCGAAGGCGGCUAUCUGGUCUGUAACUGACGCUGAGGCUCGAAAGCAUGGGUAGCAAACAGGAUUAGAUACCCUGGUAGUCCAUGCCGUAAACGAUGAAUGCUAGGUGUUGGAAGGUUUCCGCCUUUCAGUGCCGCAGCUAACGCAUUAAGCAUUCCGCCUGGGGAGUACGACCGCAAGGUUGAAACUCAAAGGAAUUGACGGGG
rnacentral:rRNA from 2 species